rnacentral:misc_RNA from 1 species
UAAUAAGUGUUUUAUGGCACUUUUUAAAUCCAUAUCCACCUUGUGUGCAAUGUCAGUCGAUCUUCUUCAUGGAGAUCGACCAAACAUCAACCUUUAUCUUUUAACUCUUUGUCUGAAAAAUAUUAUGAAUAAACAAUUCAGAAUA